rnacentral:lncRNA from 1 species
GUGUAUACAUGUAUACAUGUGUAUGUAUGCCUAUCCACAGGUAGUUGCAUGCGGGUGCAUGUCGAGGUACGUAGGGGUGUCUAUGGCCGUAACGCUUUGAGACCUGUGUCACCUUGAAAACGUGUAUUUCCCAUCCGCCAUGUACAUUCGAUAUAGGAGCACAAAGGCAGACGCGUCCUCUCGGGAUUGGCACAGAGUAUCAGCGGGGAAAGUGAGAAAUCGACAAUGUAACUUCUGGCUUUGUUUAGGUGAUGAGAGAGAGAGCAGCAAACGACGGAUCCACUGCCUGUGUCCCACCUCUGUCCAGAGUUCCGUCGAGCGGGCAGCUUGGAUUUCGUUGAGCCUGCUGGGUGCUUGAGAAACUUCGAAGCGUAGAAGCUUUGACAGGAAGGUUUGUUUGCAAUCCUUGCCUUCAUUCGUGGGGAUUCACACUCGCUGUCCUUUAAGCCGAUGCAUGCAGCGCAGUGACAGCGUUCGUCAAGCUUCGGCCUCAGGCACUCAUUCGCUCCGCAAGUCUCGCAGUGAGGUCGGAGGAGAAGCUCCGGAGUCCGUCUGGCCGUUGAAGUGCGUGCUCUCGACAGGGGCACUGUUCCGGUUGAGACGUCUCCUUUCGAUUCCACCUUAGCCACAGGAUUCCUACCGUUGUUAAACAAACACGGGGAAAAGGGUACCUGGGUUCGGAUGCUUCAAGCCCAAGGGGUAAGAAACGGUGUUGGAGAAGCUCGGCAAGCAGGAGGACAGUGCCGGCAUUCGCACGUAUCCUGACACUUUGUGUUGGACGUUCUGUCCUGGCGGCCUAGAUCAGUCUAUACGCAAUGAUGGUGUACAGCGAUGAUAAUGUUUUUCUUUUCUAUAUGUUCUCAAACAAUCUACCCCGAGGACUUUUGGAUAUAACGGCGUCUCUUCCAGUUCUUGUCGACGUCUGCUGUCGGGAAUUUAAUCCUUUUUUUUCACAGGAACAUUGCCAGCAACAAUGCUUGGGGGUGUUGAUUCUUCCACCGUGUUUUACUGAUUACGUGUCUAUCCUUCAAUAAAAACCGAGACGAAUGUGUAUACAUACACAGCUGUGCUAUCGAUACGCGUUUCUUCUGCCACGCAUCUAUCAUUGUUUAAGUAUGGC